CAUUUGUAAGACGGUUGGUGAUGUUCAGAAUAAUAAGCGAAGUGCAGAAUGAAAUUAAUGGGGCCGAGAUUAGCGGUUUCCUUUCCUUUUCCCUGGGAAGGCGAAUAGGAAGGCGACUUUGUCCCCUCGAUCUGCCGCCGGCCAGGCCGGUGGUUCCUUCCCUCUCCGUCCGCCGCUCCGGCGAUGGGAGAGGGGCGGGAACCCCAGUCCUGUGCUUCCGGUAUGUAGAUAGUAGGGUAGUGGUUCCAGGAGUUGCCGUCAUGGUGGGGGUGGCGGCGUCGGUGUGGAAUAAAGAUGUUGGUGGUUCCCCCUCAUCCCGGCGAAGCCUUUGCCGGAACCGGCGAACUGUCGGCUUUAGGUGCUCUCGGAUCCUUCGAUAUGGUGAGCUUUGGUGCUCCGAGCAAAGCGCUGGAUCUGCCAGCGCAGGUUUGUGGUCACUGGAUCUUUGCAGGUUCUUCUCCUCAACGGCGAAUUGGUAACGGUGACUACAGUAGACUGUUUAAGCAACUAAGCAACUCAAGUCCCAUGGCGAUUACAAAUCAUGAGUGGCUGCUGCACUAUUCUUUAUUUGACGGUCUCUAUGUGGAGGGUUUCAGAACUUUCUCUAGGUGCAGACCGGAUUAGUAGCGGUACACGCUUGCAACUAGCAAAAAUUGCAAGAUGCAGGGUUGCGUUUUCUCUUUCCAAUGCAUGGUAUCUGUUCAGGUGGAUGACCGCUAAUGUAUGUGGGAUAUGGAUGUCUUCAUAUUUGUGGUGGGUACAAGUAAUGUUAAAUUGAAAUUUGAGGCCCUCUUUUCAUUACAACCAGUAGCAAAAUUUAGGUUUUGGUGAGAAGAAAGGUGAACCUAAUGGCUAUAGCACUAUUGAGAAGAAUGUUUCAGUCACUGGAGAAAUUGAGGAACAAAUGAAGUUGAUAGAAGAAAGAGCAAUAAAGAUCUAUUAAACAUAUAUAUAGAUUGCUUGGCAAUAAAGAUCGACAUAAAAUAGCAUUACUUGUUUUGGGCAUAGCUAAACGUACAAGCUUAAUACUACUGAAAUUCUAAAAUCUAUUUGUAUGUGUUCGAUCAGAAGUAAUGUUUGGUUUUGUUCAUAGGUUGUCCACUGUUUUGUCAUUCCACCUAACUGAUAGAGAUUGUAAUCGGGUCAACAAAUGGCAUACAUUUUUUUCA